rnacentral:lncRNA from 1 species
CCCCCCCCCCCCCCCCCCCCCCCCCCCCCCCCCCCCCCCCCCCCCCCCCCCCCCCCCCCCCCCCCCCCCCCCCCCCCCCCCCCCCCCCCCCACUGGGAGGGACUGGGAGGGACUGGGAGGGACUGGAAGGGGUUUGGGGGUUACUGGUUUGUACUGGGAUGAACUGGGAUCAAACUGGGAUGAACUGGGAUCUAACUGGCUUAUACUGGGAGGGACUGGGAGGGACUGGGAGGGACUGGGAGGGACUGGAAGGGGUUUGGGGGUUACUGGUUUGUACUGGGAUGAACUGGGAUCAAACUGGGAUGAACUGGGAUCUAACUGGCUUACAUUGGGAGGGACUGGGACGGACUGGGGGGAACUGGGAGGGGUUUGGGAGUUACUGGUUUAUACUGGGAUACACUGGGAUGGAAGUGGGAUCGAACUGGUUCGUACUGGGAUGGACUGAGAUGGGUUUUGGGGUUACUGGUUUAUACUGGGAGGCACUGGGGUGAACUGGGAUCAAACUGGGAGGGACUGGGAGGGAACUGGAAGGGGUUUGGGAGUUACUGGUUUAUACUGGGAUGGACUGGGAGAGGUUUCGGGGGUUACUGGUUCGUACUGGGAGGGACUGGAAGGGAACUGGGAAGAGGUUUGGCCUUACUGGGAUGCACUGGUUUAUACUGGGAGAGGAUUUGGGCUUCACUGGUUUGUACUGGUUUGUACUGGUUUGUACUGGGAGGCUCUGACUCUGCCCCUCCCCCCUCCCAGCGCGAGUGGGGGCGGAGCUUCUCCAGGGAGGACCAAUCGCAGCUGAGCUCCCAGUUCCUGCCCAACCAGGAGGCGGCGCUGGAGCCCCACCCCCAGAAGGUUUUCUGCGGGAUUUUCUCCGAGUGCGGCCGCAGGUUCCUGACGGCGUGUCAGGGUGAGCGACACGGAGCGGACCGGACCGGACCCGGACCAGCCCCCGACCCGGACCAGCCCCCGCCGUCCGCAACGGCAACACCCCAUAAUAACACCUCGAAAUAGCAUCCCGAAAUACCCCAAAAACAUACCAAAAUAUCCGGAAAUAUCCCAAAAUAUCCCCAAAAUAACAUCCCAAAAUACCCCANCCUGGGCUUCACUGGGAUGAACAGGGAAGGUGCUGGUCCAUACUGGCUUAUACUGGUUCAAACUGGUCCAUACUGGUCUGUACUGGUCUGUACUGGUCCGUACUGGUCCAUACUGGUCCAUACUGGUUUAUAGUGGUCCAUACUGGUCCGUACUGGUCCAUACUGCUCCGUACUGGUCCAUACUGGUCCAUACUGAUCCGUACUGGUUUGUACUGGUCCAUAGUGGUCUAUACUGGUUUAUACUGGUUUAUACUGGUCCUUACUUGUUUAUAGUGGUUUAUACUGGUUCAUACUAGUCCAUACUGGUUUAAACUGGUCUGUACUGGUCUGUACUGCUCCUUACUGGUCCAUACUGGUCUAUACUGGUCCAUACUGGUCUGUCCUGGUCUGUA